AGAGUUUGAUCCUGGCUCAGGACGAACGCUGGCGGCGUGCCUAAUACAUGCAAGUCGAACGAAACUUUCUUACACCGAAUGCUUGCAUUCAUCGUAAGAAGUUGAGUGGCGGACGGGUGAGUAACACGUGGGUAACCUGCCUAAAAGAAGGGGAUAACACUUGGAAACAGGUGCUAAUACCGUAUAUCUCUAAGGAUCGCAUGAUACUUAGAUGAAAGAUGGUUCUGCUAUCGCUUUUAGAUGGACCCGCGGCGUAUUAACUAGUUGGUGGGGUAACGGCCUACCAAGGUGAUGAUACGUAGCCGAACUGAGAGGUUGAUCGGCCACAUUGGGACUGAGACACGGCCCAAACUCCUACGGGAGGCAGCAGUAGGGAAUCUUCCACAAUGGACGCAAGUCUGAUGGAGCAACGCCGCGUGAGUGAAGAAGGUCUUCGGAUCGUAAAACUCUGUUGUUAGAGAAGAACACGAGUGAGAGUAACUGUUCAUUCGAUGACGGUAUCUAACCAGCAAGUCACGGCUAACUACGUGCCAGCAGCCGCGGUAAUACGUAGGUGGCAAGCGUUGUCCGGAUUUAUUGGGCGUAAAGGGAACGCAGGCGGUCUUUUAAGUCUGAUGUGAAAGCCUUCGGCUUAACCGGAGUAGUGCAUUGGAAACUGGAAGACUUGAGUGCAGAAGAGGAGAGUGGAACUCCAUGUGUAGCGGUGAAAUGCGUAGAUAUAUGGAAGAACACCAGUGGCGAAAGCGGCUCUCUGGUCUGUAACUGACGCUGAGGUUCGAAAGCGUGGGUAGCAAACAGGAUUAGAUACCCUGGUAGUCCACGCCGUAAACGAUGAAUGCUAGGUGUUGGAGGGUUUCCGCCCUUCAGUGCCGCAGCUAACGCAAUAAGCAUUCCGCCUGGGGAGUACGACCGCAAGGUUGAAACUCAAAGGAAUUGACGGGGGCCCGCAC
rnacentral:rRNA from 1 species